UGGAAUUGACCAGAACAACAUUCCACAUCUUACUCAGGCACCCCACAGCUUACUUGAAGCGCUAAAACAGCAUUUAGCUUCUUUGGAAGAGAAAAAUGACAUUUUACCUCCUCAUAGUCUCCAGCAUGCAUUGAUUCCCUCCAUCCCAA